AUUGAACGCUGGCGGAAUGCUUUACACAUGCAAGUCGAACGGCAGCACGGGGCAACCUAGUGGCGAGUGGCGAACGGGUGAGUAAUACAUCGGAACGUGCCCAGUCGUGGGGAUAACGUAGCGAAAGUUACGCUAAUACCGCAUACGAUCUAAGGAUGAAAGCGGGGGAUCGCAAGACCUCGCGCGAUUGGAGCGGCCGAUGUCAGAUUAGGUAGUUGGUGGGGUAAAGGCCCACCAAGCCGACGAUCUGUAGCUGGUCUGAGAGGACGACCAGCCACACUGGGACUGAGACACGGCCCAGACUCCGACGGGAGGCAGCAGUGGGGAAUUUUGGACAAUGGGCGCAAGCCUGAUCCAACCAUUCCGCGUGCAGGAUGAAGGCCUUCGGGUUGUAAACUGCUUUUGUACGGAGCGAAAAGGCUCUCUCUAAUACAGGGGGCUCAUGACGGUACCGUAAGAAUAAGCACCGGCUAACUACGUGCCAGCAGCCGCCGUAA
rnacentral:rRNA from 1 species